CGCAGGAGCGCUCCUUUCACAGCAAUGUCGUUCUGAUAAAACAGACGAAGAAGAAGCUGCUGUUUAUAUGGAGCCGCGGAUCGCCGCGCGGUCUUUUGGCACGUGGGAAUCUCGCUGGUGUGCUUCAGAGGGAGGAGUAGCCUUUCAGGGGUAUCUGCUCAUGAGAAGACGUUUCUGACCUGCAGGGGGCAGUAUAAGUGCACAGUGGACACUUUGGACCAUCGACUGGUGGAGCUGCUCUCCAAUCAAAACAAGAAUUUUAAAAAAAUCAGACAAGAAAGAGUCUGCUGCAUCGAGGAGGAAAAGACCGCAUGCUGUCUGUUUGAAGAAACACUUUGAACCCAGACGUCUCCAGUUACAUUUCUGAAGGCAAUCAAGAGCAGAAAGAGGAAAACAACGGAGUGCCAACGGACUUGUGACACUAGCAGGCGAAUAAAUCACACUUAAAUGUUACCAAAUACUGAGUUCUGAUUUUGUUGAUGUUUGGCCGAAAAACAGAGCUGCUGGUGCUAUGGAAACAAGGUUUAUUGUAAAAUAAUUUCAAAUAAAAGUAUGGCUGUGGUUGAAAUUCAAGUUCCUUUUUAAAGAAAGCAAAAUGUUUCUACAUCAGCUUUAAGUAGGAACUUACACAAACAGGUUGAUGCAGUGAAUCCUCUCUCACAUCCUCUUUCUCUACAUCCACGAACCUCCUCUUAGGACCUCUCUCCUGGUAACUCCAACCUCUGCCUCCUUUUACCAUCACUGUUCCUCCUCUCAAUGUGUUCAAACCAUCUCCUGCAAUUAUCUUCAAAACAUCUACCAUGAUAUUUUGAUGUAUUUAUGCCCGAUCCCAUCCAUCCUAAUCACUCUCAAAGAGAAACUCAUCUUAUUCAUCGUGAUAUUCUGUGGGAGGUGUUCUGGAGAUGUGGUAUCCGGGCCCUCUUUUUAUGGCCAACAAGUAUCAGUACAACCAGAGCAGGAGUUGGGUUCACAUUGUAAGUAAACCUGUUUACAGAGAUGUACUCUGACACCACUUCUGUUUAUGGUGAAUGCUGUGCAAUGUAUUUAUUUAAUAAUAAAUAUGAAUUAUGUUUUUUUCUGGAUGAAUAAAAACAGAAAUAUAAAGGAAAACUAGCAUUUUCUCAAAAAUGUGAAGUUAUUUUUUACACUUGAAAGAAGCUGUAUGAUUUCCUUUCAAAAUAAAAGACACCUUGUUCCAGACUGGAUCAUCCCAGACCCCUGCAGAUGGAGUCUGCCUAUUGAACUGAAAUAGGAAGUUGAUUCUACUAAAGAGGAGCCUGAUGUUUAGGAAAUUCUGGGAAUAACUAAUAUCCUUUAGACUGUUUGGAAAAUAUGGAACUAUGCAAUUUUGGACAACUGACAAAAAAGGAUAAAAUUUGUAAAAAAAAAAAAAAAAAAAAAA